rnacentral:hammerhead_ribozyme from 3 species
CUGCGAAACCCGCUCCAUAGCUUGGAGCGAGGUCUGUCUAAUGUAGUGAUUAGGCACUGAUGAGCAGCUAACC